rnacentral:rRNA from 1 species
CCCGGGUAGGGGUGAAAUCCUGUAUCCGGGAAGACCACCUGUGGCGAAGCGCUCGGCUGAACGGGUCCGACGUGAGGGACGAGCCUGGGAGCGAACCCGGAUUAGAUACCCGGGUAGUCCAGGCUGUAAACGAUGCGGGCUAGGUGUCACCGGAGCUACGAGCUCCGGUGGUGCCGGAGGGAAGCCGUUAAGCCCGCCGCCUGGGAAGUACGGCCGCAAGGCUGAAACUUAAAGGAAUUGGCGGGGGAGCACUACAACGGGUGGAGCCUGCGGUUUAAUUGGAUUCAACGCCGGGAAGCUUACCGGGGGAGACAGCGGGAUGAAGGUCGGGCUGAAGACCUUACCAGACUAGCUGAGAGGUGGUGCAUGGCCGCCGUCAGUUCGUACUGUGAAGCAUCCUGUUAAGUCAGGCAACGAGCGAGACCCGCGCCCUCAGUUGCCAGCGGGUCCCUUCGGGGAUGCCGGGCACACUGAGGGGACUGCCGGCGCUAAGCCGGAGGAAGGUGCGGGCAACGGCAGGUCCGUAUGCCCCGAAUCCCCCGGGCUACACGCGGACUGCAAUGGCCGGGACAAUGGGCUCCGACUCCGAAAGGAGGAGGAAAUCCCGAAACCCGGUCGUAGUUCGGAUCGAGGGCUGUAACUCGCCCUCGUGAAGCCGGAAUCCCUAGUAAUCGCGGUCAC